rnacentral:rRNA from 1 species
CGCCAAUCAGCUAGCCCAAAAACUAAUUUCAGCAAACCCACAUUACUAAACCCCAAUCCACUACAUCAUCCCAAAUAAAACAUUCCCCCUCCCCAGUAUAGGUGAUAGAAAAGGAAAUAUUGGAGCAAUAGAAAAAGUACCGCAAGGGAAAGCUGAAAGAGAGGUGAAAUAGUCCAGUAAAGCUUAACAAAGCAGAGUUACACCCUCGUACCUUUUGCAUCAUGAAUUAGCUAGUAAAACUAAGCAAAGAGCACUUAAGUUUAGCACCCCGAAACUAGGUGAGCUACUUCAAGACAGCCUAUCAUAGGGCAAACCCGUCUCUGUGGCAAAAGAGUGGGAAGAGCUUCAAGUAGCGGUGACAGACCUACCGAACCUAGUUAUAGCUGGUUACCUGAGAAAUGGAUAUAAGUUCAGCCCCGUAAUUUUUUCUGUUCAUAUCCUUGAAAUAUCCAAUGAUAAUGAGAAGUUACAGGAGUUAGUCAAAAGAGGUACAGCCCUUUUGAUUUAAGAUACAACUUUGCAAGCAGGGUAAAGAUCAUGUUUUUGAAGGUAAAAUGUUCUGGUGGGCCUAAAAGCAGCCACCCUCACAGAAAGCGUUAUAGCUCAGACAUAAUAGUAACCUUAAAUUAAGAUAAUUAAUUCCGAACCCACUAACCAUAACAGGUCCUCCCAUGCCCACAUGGGAAUGAUAAUGCUAAUAUGAGUAAUAAGAGGUACAUUUACGACCUCUCCCCGCCCACGUGUAUGUCGGAACGGACCCGCCACCGAUUAUUAACGUCCCCAAAUUAAGAGGGUAUUAAUCACUGUUUAGAACUACUAGAAGACCGUUUAAGAAGAAACGUUAACCCCACACUGGUGAGCACCCAGGGAAAGACUAUAAGAGCGAGAAGGAACUCGGCAAACACAUAAAGCCUCGCCUGUUUACCAAAAACAUCGCCUCUUGCAAAGCCAAAGAAUAAGAGGUCGCGCCUGCCCAGUGACAACUAGUUUAACGGCCGCGGUAUUUUGACCGUGCUAAGGUAGCGUAAUCACUUGUCUUUUAAAUGAAGACCUGUAUGAAUGGUAUGACGAGGGCUUGACUGUCUCCUCACUCCAGUCAAUGAAAUUGAUCUCCCCGUGCAGAAGCGGGGAUAAAAACAUAAGACGAGAAGACCCUAUGGAGCUUUAGACGCUAGAAUAGACCAUGUUAAAGAAUACAGGUUAAAGUACAAAACCUAAUGAGUAUACUAUUCCUAUGUUUUCGGUUGGGGCGACCAUGGGGAAAUACAAAACCCCCACGUGGAAUGAGAGAACUCCUCCCCUUAAUAGCUCUCUCACAAACACAGAGUUACAUCUCUAAUUACCAGAAUUUCUGACCAGCUAUGAUCCGGCAACGCCGAUCAACGGACCAAGUUACCCUAGGGAUAACAGCGCAAUCCCCUUUUAGAGCCCUUAUCAACGAGGGGGUUUACGACCUCGAUGUUGGAUCAGGACAUCCUAAUGGUGUAGCCGCUAUUAAGGGUUCGUUUGUUCAACGAUUAAAGUCCUACGUGAUCUGAGUUCAGACCGGAGUAAUCCAGGUCAGUUUCUAUCUAUGAAAUAAUCUUUUCUAGUACGAAAGGACCGAAAAGAAGAGGCCACUGCCUAAGCACGCCUCACCCUUACCUAAUGAAAACAUCUAAAUUAGGCAAAAGGGUAUGUAAUUACUGCCUGAGAUUAAGGUAU